UACGUAGGGUGCGAGCGUUAAUCGGAAUUACUGGGCGUAAAGUGUGCGUAGGCGGCGUCGCAAGUCGAGUGUGAAAGCCCCGGGCUUAACUUGGGAAUUGCGCUCGAAACUACGAUGCUGGAGUGUGGCAGAGGAAGGUGGAAUUCCACGUGUAGCGGUGAAAUGCGUAGAGAUGUGGAGGAACACCAAUGGCGAAGGCAGCCUUCUGGGCCAACACUGACGCUCAUGCACGAAAGCGUGGGGAGCAAACAGG
rnacentral:rRNA from 1 species